AUUAUAAUGGUCGUUACAAAAAUACAAAAUGCAUUGUUUAAAAUCUCAUUAUUACACUACAAAGUCUUUUUAUUUGCACCAAGUUAUUAAAAAUAAUUAUAAUUAAUUUUAAACUUCGUCUUCAGUACAAAACUCGAAGGCAACUGAAAAAAUUGACAUAAUACAGGGUAGAAACGUUAAGUGAUCUCACUCGAUUAUCUCUAAACUAUAAAAGAAAUGGAAAAACUAGUUACUGAUCCUGAAAGUGCUUCACGAGCUCGAUCAAACGGUAUCAAUAAUAGGUUACAGAAUAAACUGGAUCUAUCCAAAAAUUCUGUUUCCAGCUUAGUUAGUGCAUGAAGGAUGCUACUUCGAUUAAUAUUAGAAGUGUUAAAUUUUUUAAUUUAACUUAUAAUAAACUCAGUAACCAGUUUUUCGAUAUCUUGUACAGUUUAAUAAUCGAGUGAGAUCACUUAUCGAUCCAUCCUGUAUAGCAGCAGAUCGGACGUAACUCAUUGACUUAAAAUCAUCUUAUUACGCAAAAAAUAAGUGUCUUUUACAAAACAACUGCUACGUUAGACAUACCGUCGGUAGUAAAUUUUAAUACCUAUUGAAGACUAUAAAUCAUCGUUUCAUCCACUCGGACGCGCCCCACCAUUCUUCCGCUAAUGUUUGAGUGUUAUCGGUACACGCUAAAUCAUCCAUGAGUGCACACGCACACUACAAUAAUGCCUUACGGAUUGCUCGCACCAAACAUUGGUGGGGCGCGUCUUUGUGGAUGAAACAAUCUAUAUGGACUAUGGAUGCAAGCGUCACCCGGAAUCCUCAACCACAGAGGAACUGGCUAUCUUACCUCCAACUGCCGGAACACAACAAUGCUGUUAACAUUGUUAUGGCGACAGACUUAAGUAAGAUGGUGGUAGCUAGCCAGGCGGACUUAGAACAAGCCCUAAAUAAAAUAUGUUUUUUUUUAUUUUUUAACCCGGAAAGGGAUCGUAACCGUAUCAACUCGAGGCGGUCAGUAUUCUUUGUAUGAAACUCCAUACUGCAACGCACACUUAUCGGGACCGUAACGUAAACGCCUCGCCUCGCGGUUGACAGUGCGCGAAAGGCGAUACGUUGUUGAUCCCUUUCCGAGUUGAUAAGUCUGCUAUGACCUUUGUAUACUCUAUUUAAAAAUUAUAGAAAGUAAACUGUUUUUUAACGCCAUGGUUGAUUGACAGAGAAGGCGUGUGCAUUAAGUCCGCCAGUUGUACUUCUGUGCAAUAAUAUAUAAAAUAAAAUUAUAAGCAAUAAAUUUUACUAAUAGAAAACUGUGUUUGCAAAGGUAGAUAAUUUUUUAGAACGCAAUUCUUGCCAGAUUUAAAAUAGAAUAUUUUUUAUGCAAUUUUAUAAAAUGUGACAUACGUGUAGACUAGUAUUAGGUACUUAUUAUGCAGGUGAAUGAAUUAUGGCAACACUGUUGAAUUAUUAUUUUUCUACAUGGCAAUAAUCGGUAUGUUUUAAGGUUGUGAAUGAAUUUGUUUGUAAAUUGGUACUUUAUGGAGUUUAAUCGUUUUCUAUGUAUUUAACCUGAUUUAAUUUUCGGUUUUCCGUAAAUGGUCGAAUCAGAAAUAAGCAUAGGUAUUACGCUUAACUGAAUGGCGGUUAUCACACUGCGCCGCGCUCCGCCGCGGAGCGCGUGAUUUUCAUAUAAAAAAUCCCGCGCGCGGACGCGUUGUCAGUGUGAAGUGCCGCGCGUGUUUUCUAUACAAACUGAGGUACUUGCAUACAAUGAUUAAAUCUGUCGCCCCGCGCUCCGCGGCGGAGAGCGGCGCAGUGUGAUAACCGCCAAUCAGUGCCUGGAAGUAUGGAAGCGGCACGGGAGGGUGUUGUGGUGUCAAAUGUCAGCGAGACUUCAGACGUGCUUCAGACUUGUAUGCUUUUUCACGUCAUGUCACCCCUCCCGUGCCGCUUCCAUACCUCAGGACUGAGUUAUGCCAGAGUAAAUUCAAAUGAGUAGGUCAUCUUCAUAGAAACGCCCGAGCGUGGUUUGUAUGUGAGCGCGCCAAUACGUAUGCGGCGCGCACGCACACACUGACAUAAUUUAGCGUGGAUUAGUGGUGAGGUCAGAGGUGAGCUGAAUUUUGUCAGUGUGUGCGUGCGUAUAAUAGUGGCAUCUUAUUAAACUGUAAUAGGUGCUAUUUUCCGACAAAAAAUGUGUAAUAAUAUGACUACUAUAAAUUCAUAAAGUUUUUCACAAUUAAACUUCUUUAAUUGGAUAAAUUAAAACGGACUCCGUUUUAAAUAUUUUUAUUCAACAAGCUGGUCACAGUCACAUGUCAAGAAUAGGCUAGAUGACAAAAUUUCAAUUAUUCAUCCGUCAGACAGAUAAUUAGAAAAUAUUAGCCUCAUAUUUUUUAUUUUCUUUCAUAAUUAAAUAAUAACAGUGCUACAUCGAGUUGAAAUGGUGCGAUACGUCACGCUUGAGUAUGUGUCCAAAAUUUUUUUAUUAUCUGUCUGACGGACUAAAUAGAAUUUCGAUUGUAUUACCCAGUCAUCAUCCCUAUUCAAGAUGUGUUACAUACACACAUAUUAUGUGCAAAUGUUUUCCAAAAGGUUGACAAUGAUUUUUCCAAUUUUUUUGUAAUUUUUUGCACAUAAUGGACUACUAAAUCAAAAAUCUUUACAGGUGUAAUUUUUUUUGUCAGUUACUGACUAUUUUGUAUUAUUUAGUUAAUUACCAUUGGGUAUUGAGACAAAUAACUCUUUAUUGUACAUAUAUUUUAAGUUUAAAUUUGAUUUUGAAUUCGGUGUGUAUGUUAAGUAAAUCAUUCCAAUUUA